AGAGUUUCAUUGGAGAUGCCCUAACCGUUCACCACAAACACAUCAUCUUCUUUGCUUUCGUGAUUAACAUUUAUGGGUUCCUCUCUCUCUCUCAAAUCAAACAAUUUUUAUAAGUCAUGAUGAUGAAUUCUGUUUCUUCGUAUGCAGAAUUUCAAUGAUUAUUAAGGUAUGCAUCAGAUAAAUCUGACCAGAUGUUUUUUUAAAAGAUCAAGAACGUCUGGAAAUAUAAGAAGAGACGAUGGAAACUGAAAUCUAAAAGGAAAAGUAGAAGUGUCAGGAAAUCAAGGUUGAAGGAAACAGUUUUGUUGAAGAUUGAUGAUGAAAAGAGAGACAUAGAGAA